AUCACUUUGCCCUGUUGGAAGAAAAGCACAUGGAGGAAUCAUCUCAACUUUCAUCCGACGUAAUCCGUCAAUAUUCAGUGUUUUUGAAGAGUGUUAAUGAAGUGGACCUGUAAACUGGGCCCAUUUUCAACGUGGAAUCAGAGGGUCAUCAGAAGACAUACUCUGAAGCACGGACAGCACAGCCACUUUUGCCCCUUGCUCUGCAUGUUUUAUCACCUUCAGAAG